GAUGAACGCUGGCGGCGUGCCUAAUACAUGCAAGUCGAGCGAAGCGGGGACGGGUGAGAAACACGUGGAUAACCUCCUAUAAGACGGGGAUAACUUCGGGAAACCGGAGCCAAACCGGAUACUCAUACAUGGAUACGCGCUGCAUUAGCUAGUCGGUAAGUUAACGGCUUACAAAGGCAACGAUGCAUAGCCGACCUGUGAGGGUGAUCGGCAACACUGGAACUGAGACACGGUCCAGACUCCUACGGGAGGCAGCAGUAGGGAAUCUUCCGCAAUGGGCGAAAGCCUGACGGAGCAACGCCGCGUGAGUGAUGAAGGUCUUCGGAUCGUAAAGCUCUGUUAUUUGGGAAGCGGUACCUAAAGAGAAAGCCACGGCUAACUACGUGCCAGCAGCCGCGGUAAUUG
rnacentral:rRNA from 1 species